GAUGAACGCUGUCGGCGUGCUUAACACAUGCAAGUCGAACGAUGAACCUCACUUGUGGGGGGAUNUAGUGGCGAACGGGUGAGUAACACGUGAGUAACCUGCCCUUGACUCUGGGAUAAGCCUGGGAAACCGGGUCUAAUACUGGAUACGACCUUCUGGCGCAUGCCAUGUUGGUGGAAAGCUUUUGUGGUUUUGGAUGGACUCGCGGCCUAUCAGCUUGUUGGUGGGGUAAUGGCCUACCAAGGCGACGACGGGUAGCCGGCCUGAGAGGGUGACCGGCCACACUGGGACUGAGACACGGCCCAGACUCCUACGGGAGGCAGCAGUGGAGAAUAUUGCACAAUGGGCGCAAGCCUGAUGCAGCGGCGCCGCGUGAGGGAUGAAGGCCUUCGGGUUGUAAACCUCUUUCAGUAGGGAAGAAGCCGGCCUUUCGGGGUUGGUGACGGUACCUGCAGAAGAAGCGCCGGCUAACUACGUGCCAGCAGCCGCGGUAAUACGUAGGGCGCAAGCGUUAUCCGGAAUUAUUGGGCGUAAAGAGCUCGUAAGCGGUUUGUCGCGUCUGCCGUGAAAGUCCGGGGCUUAACCCCGGAUCUGCGGUGGGUACGGGCAGACUAGAGUGCAGUAGGGGAGACUGGAAUUCCUGGUGUAGCGGUGAAAUGCGCAGAUAUCAGGAGGAACACCGAUGGCGAAGGCAGGUCUCUGGGCUGUAACUGACGCUGAGGAGCGAAAGCAUGGGGAGCGAACAGGAUUAGAUACCCUGGUAGUCCAUGCCGUAAACGUUGGGCACUAGGUGUGGGGGACAUUCCACGUUUUCCGCGCCGUAGCUAACGCAUUAAGUGCCCCGCCUGGGGAGUACGGCCGCAAGGCUAAAACUCAAAGGAAUUGACGGGGGCCCGCACAAGCGGCGGAGCAUGCGGAUUAAUUCGAUGCAACGCGAAGAACCUUACCAAGGCUUGACAUGAACCGGAAUGAUGCAGAGAUGUGUCAGCCACUUGUGGCCGGUUUACAGGUGGUGCAUGGUUGUCGUCAGCUCGUGUCGUGAGAUGUUGGGUUAAGUCCCGCAACGAGCGCAACCCUCGUUCCAUGUUGCCAGCGGGUUAUGCCGGGGACUCAUGGGAGACUGCCGGGGUCAACUCGGAGGAAGGUGGGGACGACGUCAAAUCAUCAUGCCCCUUAUGUCUUGGGCUUCACGCAUGCUACAAUGGCCGGUACAAAGGGUUGCGAUACUGUGAGGUGGAGCUAAUCCCAAAAAGCCGGUCUCAGUUCGGAUUGAGGUCUGCAACUCGACCUCAUGAAGUUGGAGUCGCUAGUAAUCGCAGAUCAGCAACGCUGCGGUGAAUACGUUCCCGGGCCU
rnacentral:rRNA from 1 species